UACGAAGGGUGCAAGCGUUACUCGGAAUUACUGGGCGUAAAGGGUGCGUAGGCGGUUCGUUAAGUCUGUCGUGAAAUCCCCGGGCUCAACCUGGGAAUGGCGAUGGAUACUGGCGAGCUAGAGUGUGUCAGAGGAUGGUGGAAUUCCCGGUGUAGCGGUGAAAUGCGUAGAGAUCGGGAGGAACAUCAGUGGCGAAGGCGGCCAUCUGGGACAACACUGACGCUGAAGCACGAAAGCGUGGGGAGCAAACAGG
rnacentral:rRNA from 1 species